UACGUAGGGUGCGAGCGUUAAUCGGAAUUACUGGGCGUAAAGCGUGCGCAGGCGGUUCGCUGUGUCCGAUGUGAAAGCCCCGGGCUUAACCUGGGAAUGGCAUUGGAAACUGGCGGGCUUGAGUGUGGCAGAGGGGGUGGAAUUCCGGCGUGUAGCAGUGAAAUGCGUAGAGAAUGCGGAGGAACACCGAUGGCGAAGGCAGCCCCCUGGGCUAACACUG
rnacentral:rRNA from 1 species